rnacentral:rRNA from 1 species
AUGCAAGUCGAGCGGUAAGGCCCUUUCGGGGGUACACGAGCGGCGAACGGGUGAGUAACACGUGAGCAACCUACCCUCAACUUCGGGAUAAGCCUCGGAAACGGGGUCUAAUACCGGAUAUCACUCCAUUCUUCAUGGUUUGGGGUUGAAAGUUCUGGCGGUUGGGGAUGGGCUCGCGGCCUAUCAGCUUGUUGGUGGGGUAAUGGCCUACCAAGGCGUCGACGGGUAGCCGGCCUGAGAGGGCGACCGGCCACACUGGGACUGAGACACGGCCCAGACUCCUACGGGAGGCAGCAGUGGGGAAUAUUGCGCAAUGGGCGAAAGCCUGACGCAGCAACGCCGCGUGAGGGAUGACGGCCUUCGGGUUGUAAACCUCUUUCACCCACGACGAAGCGAGAGUGACGGUAGUGGGAGAAGAAGGACCGGCCAACUACGUGCCAGCAGCCGCGGUAAUACGUAGGGUCCGAGCGUUGUCCGGAAUUAUUGGGCGUAAAGGGCUCGUAGGCGGUUCGUCACGUCGGGAGUGAAAACUCGGAGCUUAACUCC